UACGAAGGGGGCUAGCGUUGCUCGGAAUCACUGGGCGUAAAGGGUGCGUAGGCGGGUCUUUAAGUCAGGGGUGAAAUCCUGGAGCUCAACUCCAGAACUGCCUUUGAUACUGAGGAUCUUGAGUUCGGGAGAGGUGAGUGGAACUGCGAGUGUAGAGGUGAAAAUUCGUAGAUAUUCGGAAGAACACCAGUGGCGAAGGCGGUUCUCUGGGCAUGUCCUGACGCUGAGGAGCCGAAAGUGUGGGGAGCAAACAGGG
rnacentral:rRNA from 1 species